AUGAACGCUAGCGGCAGGCCUAAUACAUGCAAGUCGAACGGAGUAGCAAUACUUAGUGGCAAACGGGUGCGUAACGCGUAAGCAACCUGCCUUCUACUGGGGGAUAGCCCGGCGAAAGCUGGGGUAAACCCGCACGGUCCCACCGGAUCACCUGGUUUGGUGGGUAAACAUUUAUGGGUAGAAGAGGGGCUUGCGUCUGAUUAGCUAGUUGGCGGGGUAAGGGCCCACCAAGGCGAUGAUCAGUAGGGGUUCUGAGAGGAUUGGCCCCCACAUGGGUACUGAGAUACGGACCCAACUCCUACGGGAGGCAGCAGUAGGGAAUAUUGGGCAAUGGAGGCAACUCUGACCCAGCCAUGCCGCGUGCAGGAUGAAGGCGCUCAGCGUUGUAAACUGCUUUUAUCAGGGAAGAACUAUAGGGAUGCGUCCUUAUUUGACGGUACCUGAGGAAUAAGCACCGGCUAACUCCGU
rnacentral:rRNA from 1 species